rnacentral:rRNA from 1 species
GACGAACGCUGGCGGCGUGCUUAACACAUGCAAGUCGAGCGGAAAGGCUCCUUCGGGGGUACUCGAGCGGCGAACGGGUGAGUAACACGUGAGUAAUCUGCCCUUGGCUUUGGGAUAAGCCCCGGAAACGGGGUCUAAUACCGGAUAUGACCGGCCACUGCAUGGUGGUUGGUGGAAAGUUUUUUCGGCCAGGAGUGUGCUCGCGGCCGUAUCAGCUUGUUGGUGGGGUAAGUGGCCUACCAAGGCUUCGACGGGUAGCCGGCCUGAGAGGGUGACCGGCCACACUGGGACUGAGACACGGCCCAGAUCCUACGGGAGGCAGCAGUGGGGAAUAUUGGACAAU